rnacentral:misc_RNA from 1 species
CGCAAACUUAUAUAUUCUCACCAACUACCCUUCCCAUUCUCCAGAAAAACGCCACAAUCAAACAUCGCUUCAACCCAUCAACCCUAAACAACCGCUUCCCCGCUUCCUUCCUUUUAAACUUAUUGCGGCCCUUCAGAAACGUUGUCUCUAUUUACAACGGACACCACCAUCUUAAGAAUUGAACCACAGACUAUUCUGAUUCUCUAAACUACUUCAUGUCUACUGCUUCUGCCUGUUUCUG